UUAGGAAAUUUUCCCAAUGGGGGCAACCCUGAGGGAGUAACGCCGCGUGGAGGAUGACGGCCUUCGGGUUGUAAACUCCUUUUCUGUGGGAAGAGUAGAUGACGGUACCACAGGAAGAAGCCUCGGCUAACUACGUGCCAGCAGCCGCGGUAAUACGUAGGAGGCGAGCGUUGUCCGGAAUUACUGGGCGUAAAGAGCGCGUAGGCGGCGCUGUACGACUGGUGUGAAAGCCCCCGGCUCAACUGGGGAGGGUCAUCGGUAACGGCAGUGCUUUGGAGUGCAGGAGAGGGACGUGGAACUCCGGGAGUAGCGGUGAAAUGCGUAGAGACCCGGAGGAACACCAGUGGCGAAGGCGGCGUCCUGGCCUGCAACUGACGCUGUGGCGCGAAAGCUAGGGGAGCGAACGGGAUUAGAUACCCCGGUAGUCCUAGCCGUAAAACGAUGGACACUAGGUGUGCGUGGUAUCGACCCCACGCGUGCCGGAGCU
rnacentral:rRNA from 1 species